CGGGCUGUGAUGAUUGGCGCAGGGGUACGGACCUCAGCUGAUCAUGGGAGCUGAGUGUAUGUGUUUCUCCYUUGUCCUGCACGUGGCAGGAUGAUGGCGAGCACUUACAUGAGACCAUGCCUUGAUCUGAGCCCG
rnacentral:snoRNA from 9 species